GACGAACGCUGGCGGCGUGCUUAACACAUGCAAGUCGAACGGUGAAGGGACCGGUUUUUGCUGGUUCUGGAUGAGUGGCGAACGGGUGAGUGACACGUGAGUAACCUGCCCCCUUCUUCUGGAUAACCGCAUGAAAGUGUGGCUAAUACGGGAUAUUCUGCGCCUGCUGCAUGGUGGGUGUGGGAAAGAUAUUGUUUCGGUGGGGGAUGGGCUCGCGGCCUAUCAGCUUGUUGGUGGGGUGAUGGCCUACCAAGGCGGUGACGGGUAGCCGGCCUGAGAGGGUGGACGGUCACACUGGGACUGAGACACGGCCCAGACUCCUACGGGAGGCAGCAGUGGGGAAUAUUGCACAAUGGGCGCAAGCCUGAUGCAGCGACGCCGCGUGAGGGAUGGAGGCCUUCGGGUUGUAAACCUCUUUCGCCAGUGAAGCAGGCCUGUCCCUUUUGUGGGUGGGUUGACGGUAGCUGGAUAAGAAGCGCCGGCUAACUACGUG
rnacentral:rRNA from 1 species